ensembl:lncRNA
UGAUUACCUCUCAACAGUGUAAGUGCAAGUUCAACUUACUAAAUUGCCUAGAAGUACUCAGUUUCAUGUAGAAAUUAAUGUGUGGCUUUAUAUGACACAUAUUAUUUUAGCCUUUAAUCUGUGAAAGCAAUAGUAUUUUCAAUAUUGUUGAAGUAACUCACAUUCUCACUUGUUAUACUACAUUUCUGGAUGUUUUCAGAAUUUUCUGGUGGCAUCAGCCACUUCAGUGCUUUUGAGUAGCUCACCUGCUAUGAAGAAACACAGUGUUUUAUUUAUUAUGAGGUUCUGUAAUAAUACCAUUAAGAGCCCUUGGAGGAUGGAGCUUUUCCAUGAAAUUUACAGAGCUAUUUGUGCCAAAUUGUUGUGGAAAUUUGGUCAGUUUAUGUGCAAUUACUCAUAGUCCUACACCAAGGUUCAUAUCAAUGCUUUUCUAGAACUGCUUUUAACCAGCUGCAUUCAGAAUAGUAAACAGCAGGAUAUAUCAUUUGCAGCUGUUUCAUAUUUUCCUCAGUCAUUGCUCCUAGAUGCAUUUAACCAUAAUCAGAUUCAUUAAACAGAAUAAAAAAUAACAUGUCUGUCCAUCACUGGAGAGGGCAGAUUAUCGUGCAACUUGGAAUGUGGUUUUCGGAGAUUUAGUGAGUACAGUAAGGGGUUUGGAAGUAGCAACGCUUCACAUACCAAAACCAACUCAUAGUAUGCAAAUAAAAAGAGUAAUUGAAACAAUUUAUUACUAAACUUAGUUUUUCUUCCAUUGUCUUUCCAUGCAAGCAAAAUCUCUGAAAAUGUGUCUACUAAGAUAAGAGAGAGAAUUUAUUUACUAUUAAAAAUAUAAUUGAAAACCAUUGGUAUUUUGUUCAGUGGAUAUUGAACAAGGUAUGCCUUCAUUUCUCAUAUGUGGGAUUUUAGCCUUUUUCUAGCAACUAAUGAGACUGCUGAAGAGCCAUGGGGCUUCAUUGUCUAGUGAGGCUGAUACAGUCAGUGUACUCAGGGUGUGAUAAUAAUCAUGAUGAUGAGGUUAUUUUAAGAUGUUCUUUUUCUGCAUACUUUCAGAAAGACAGCUAUCACCAAAAUGGGGAAAAAAGGAGAAUAAAUCAAAAGGAAACAUGUUCAGCUAAAGACAGGCAGGCGAGACCAAGCCACCUCAGGAUAUAAUAGUGCUGUUCUCCUCCAGGAAGUUUUGUAUUUGUUUGUGCAAGAGCACUACCAGCAGAAACCUUGAACCCUGCAGAGCAUGUAUUGUGACUGCUACAAGUGGCCAGCCAUACUUACGGUGUGGAAUUUGUCUAACACGGAACUUCUGCCACAGAAGCAGGAGUCAAGUAGCUACUAGGGGGGAUGCAUGUAUGUUACCCUUUAUCUGGUUGUGCACAUCUAGUAGUUCAAGGCUGGAAUAAACAUAGCAGAAGUUGAAGUGAGUUCUAAAUUUCAACAAAGGUGUGGCAUCCAGAUAGCACAUUCCUCCCAGUCCUAUACUGUCAUUUGCUUCUGCAGUUUGGAGAGGCCUCCUGCAAUCAUGAGCAGCUCAUUAAUCAGCAACUCUUGUAGAUUGUAAGAUCAGUCUCCACCCCCCCUUUAAAUAAGCCUAGACCUAGAUUUCAUCUUCAAAUUUUAUCUAGUACAUAUUCUUCCAAGGACAUUCAUUCACAUGGGAAGAAAUAUGAAGUAUGUUAAAAGAAUUUAUUACAGAGGGUGUGAACUUUCUAUGUCAAAGCUAAAUCCUGUUGCAAUAUUUGAGUUCAAAAUGCUACAUUAACCCUCUAAAGCAUAAUCUCUACAUGUAUGUUCGUAAAGUCUUCAAAGUUCUGGCUAGUGACUACUACUCUUUGAUUAUAAUUUCUGAAGCAUAUGCUAAAAAAGCUUUUGUAACAUUAAAGAGAUGAUAAUAUGUUGCAGUUUUCUUGUUGCAUAAUAUAACCACUUUCAGAACAACAUGAAAAGUUGAGUAUUUUUUAUGGAACUUAUACAUCAAAUUGUUGCUUCUUUAUUCUAGCAACUGCUAAUUGAUUUAACAUUUUCCUUUAAGCAUAAGGGACUUUGUGAUAUCAUCUUUGGCUCAACUCUUUCUAGCUGCCAGUUGUACCAAUUUUUAAAAAAUGUGUCUCUUUCAUGCAGCUCAGAAAGACAAAAUUUAAAAUCUUAAUUGUAAGGAUAGCAUUAUGAAGGUUUUGCUGUCAGUACAUGUAAAUAUCUAAUAAAAUAAAUAGUUCUGUGUGCUUG